ACUCCUACGGGAGGCAGCAGUGGGGAAUAUUGCACAAUGGGGGAAACCCUGAUGCAGCCAUGCCGCGUGUGUGAAGAAGGCCUUGGGUUGUAAAGCACUUUCAGUAGGGAGGAAGGUAGUGUAGUUAACACCUGCAUUAUUUGUACGUUACCUACAGAAGAAGCACCGGCUAACUCCGUGCCAGCAGCCGCGGUAAGUACGGAGGGUGCGAGCGUUAAUCGGAAUUACUGGGCGUAAAGCGCAUGCAGGCGGCCUGUUGAGUCAGAUGUGAAAGCCCGGGGCUUAACCGUCGGAAUUGCAUUUGAAACUGGGCAGGCUAGAGUCUUGGUAGAGGGGGUUAGGAAUUUCGUAGGUGGUUAGC
rnacentral:rRNA from 1 species